rnacentral:rRNA from 1 species
AGCUUGCUCCUGCUGGAUUAGUGGCGAACGGGUGAGUAACACGUGAGUAACCUGCCCUUGACUCUGGGAUAAGCGUUGGAAACGACGUCUAAUACCGGAUACGACCUUCGGAGGCAUCUCCUGGGGGUGGAAAGAAUUUCGGUCAAGGAUGGACUCGCGGCCUAUCAGCUAGUUGGUGAGGGUAAUGGGCUCACCAAGGCGGCGACGGGUAGCCGGCCUGAGAGGGUGACCGGCCACACUGGGACUGAGACACGGCCCAGACUCCUACGGGAGGCAGCAGUGGGGAAUAUUGCACAAUGGGCGCAAGCCUGAUGCAGCAACGCCGCGUGAGGGACGACGGCCUUCGGGUUGUAAACCUCUUUUAGUAGGGAAGAAGCGAAAGUGACGGUACCUGCAGAAAAAGCACCGGCUAACUACGUG